rnacentral:rRNA from 1 species
UAAAUCAGUGAUAAUCUGUUUGAUUUUCUCUCCCAUUGGAUAACCGUGGGAAAUCUAGAGCUAAUACGUGCGGUAAAUUGGCGUGUUCUCGGACRCGUCAAAGCAUUUAUUAGACUAAACCAUCUACUAUGCUUGCAUAGUAAGGGGAAUCUAGAUAACUUUGCUGAUCGUAUGGCCYUGUGCCGGCGACGUUUCAAUUGAGUUUCUGCCCUAUCAACUUGUUGGUAAGGUAUUGGCUUACCAAGGUUGCAACGGGUAACGGGGAAUCAGGGUUCGAUUCCGGAGAGGGAGCCUGAGAAACGGCUACCACAUCCAAGGAAGGCAACAGGCGCGCAAAUUACCCAAUCUAGACAGUAGGAGGUGGUGAAGAGAAUUACUAAGUGGUGGUCCAAUGGAUCACUUGUUUGGAAUGAACGUAACUUAAGAAAUUCGAUGAUAAACAACUGGAGGGCAAGUCCUGGUGCCAGCAGCCGCGGUAAUUCCAGCUCCAGUAGUUUGCUUUAAAGUUGUUGCGUUUAAAACGCUCGUAGUUGGAUCACGCAGCAGUGACGGGUAAUCUUUUGUCCGAAAACUGUGCUCCGCCUCGUCGCGUACGGGUGGGGCUGGGAUUUGGCGAUAGAUGUCAAAGCCUGGCAUUGCUAGUUGCACGUGAGAUAGGUUGUUGGCCUUUAGUGUGCCGAUAACUUGGUCUUGCGGAGUGUGCCUUGAAUAAAACAGAGUGCUUAAAGCAGGUCGUUGCCUGAAUGUUAUAGCAUGGAACGAACAAUCGUGUAUAUGUGUGCGUCUUUGUAUGGUGAUGAAUCUUUGGUUUGUUGUUGUCUUAGAUGCGCACGGCACCCACCAAAAUAUGGCUGUUGGUUCCAUAUACGGUGAUGAUUAACAGGAGCGGUUGGGGGCAUCGGUAUUUGGCCGCGAGAGGUGAAAUUCUUAGACCGGCCAAGGACUAACAAAUGCAAAGGCACUUGUCUAGACCGUUUCCAUUAAUCAAGAACGAAAGUGGGAGGUUCGAAGACGAUCAGAUACCGUCAUAGUUCCCACCGUAAACUAUGCCGACCUGGGAUCAGCUUGGAGAUGUUACAAGCUCCAAGUUGGUCCCCCUGGGAAACCUAAAGUUUUUCGGUUACGGGGAGAGUAUGGUCGCAAGGCUGAAACUUAAAGGAAUUGACGGAAGGGCACCACCAGGGGUGGAGCCUGCGGCUUAAUUUGACUCAACACGGGGAAACUUACCUGGUCCGGACAUCGAUAGGAUUAUCAGAUCAAUAGCUCUUAUAUGAUUCGAUGAGUGGUGGUGCAUGGCCGUUCUUAGUUCGUGGAGUGAUCUGUCAGCCUAAUUGCGGUAACGAACGAGACCACGUUCUCCAUUUGAGAGAUGGAAGAAGGCCAGCGGCGACCGG